rnacentral:lncRNA from 10 species
GGGGCUUGCAGGGGUGCCUGGGUCGGGGGCUGCAGGUGGGAGUGAGCAAAUGUGCUGUCUCGCCACCUCGGGACAGGUGGUAGGGCCUCUGACACAGAGUGGUCCUUCCUGCUGUUCACAGCUCAGCUCACCGUGGGCUGACCAUAGAUUCUCGUUGAAAUCCUAACGCCCCAGGCAAUGAUGUUAGGAGGCGGGGCUUCUGGGAGAUGGCAAGUUCGUGAGGCUGCAGCUCUGCUGGGGGAUCAGUGUCCUUCUACAAGCGGCUCCAGGGAGGUCCCUUGCCCCUUCCACCAUGUGAGGACCCGAGAUGGUGCCGUCUAUGAACCGGGAAGUGAGUCCUCUCCGGACGUGGAACAAGUUGGUGCCUUGAUUUUGAACUUGCAGCCUCCAGCUUCAUGGGGUUUAAGUACGAUGAUGCUGCAUUGAGACGUUGUACUGUGUGAAGUCAGGGCCUUCUGUGCAUCGGUCGAGGGUGCAAUGCACACGGCACCCCCGAGCAGCCACCCAUCCUCCCUUCCCUCCACCCUGCGAGGCCCCGUUGUCCGUCUGUCCACACUCUGCUCCAUGAGCACACGUGACUUAGCUUCGCCUUGUGAGCCGCUGCUUGGGGUGAGCAUGCUUCCUGCUGGAUGCUUCUCUAUGUAAGCACCUGCCUGAGUGUCAGCCCUCUUAAGGUG